rnacentral:rRNA from 1 species
GACGAACGCUAGCGGCAGGCUUAAUACAUGCAAGUCGUGGGGCAGCAGGUCUGUAGCAAUACAGAUGCUGGCGACCGGCAAACGGGUGCGGAACACGUACACAACUUUCCUUUAAGUGGGGAAUAGCCCAGAGAAAUUUGGAUUAAUACCCCGUAACAUAGUGAAAAGGUAUCUUUUUAUUAUUAUAGCAGCAAUGCGCUUAAUGAUGGGUGUGCGUCUGAUUAGGUAGUUGGCGGAGUAAUGGCCCACCAAGCCUACGAUCAGUAACUGGUGUGAGAGCACGACCAGUCACACGGGCACUGAGACACGGGCCCGACUCCUACGGGAGGCAGCAGUAAGGAAUAUUGGGCAAUGGACGCAAGUCUGACCCAGCCAUGCCGCGUGGAGGAUGAAGGUCCUCUGGAUUGUAAACUUCUUUUAUCUGGGAAGAAAUCCAUCUUUUCUUGGGUGGUUGACGGUACCAGAUGAAUAAGCACCGGCUAACUCCGUGCCAGCCGCCGCAGUAAAAC